AGUGUUUUAACAAGCAAGUUUGAGAACCAGUGAUUGACGGAUCAUUUCUAGGAAGUCCUAUCAAAAUAGUCAUCUCCUCUGUUUUGUUGAGUUUCAGGUGUACACCAUCGUGAUUUGAUAUUUUUACACAUUGCAAAAUGAUCAUCGUGGUUAUACGUGGGACGCCUACCACAGCAUGGCUGCCAAGCAGUGCCAUGUCUGCACCCGGGAUCCGAACCAGCGAACCCCGGGCCGCCAAGAAGCGGAACGUGCAAACUUAACCGCUGCGCCACCGGGCCAGCCCCUCUCUCUCUCUCACUUUUUAAAUCAGAAUGGCUGUUUAAGUACCAUUUAGGAAGCUUCUUAGAAAAACAGAUCUCUAGAGAUUUUCUUUC
rnacentral:lncRNA from 1 species